UACGUAGGGUGCGAGCGUUGUCCGGAAUUAUUGGGCGUAAAGAGCUUGUAGGCGGUUUGUCGCGUCUGCUGUGAAAAUCCGGGGGCUCAACCCCGGACUUGCAGUGGGUACGGGCAGACUAGAGUGUGGUAGGGGAGACUGGAAUUCCUGGUGUAGCGGUGAAAUGCGCAGAUAUCAGGAGGAACACCAAUGGCGAAGGCAGCUCGCUGGGACGGUACUGACGCUGAGGCGCGAAAGCGUGGGGAGCGAACAGG
rnacentral:rRNA from 1 species